rnacentral:rRNA from 1 species
AGAGUUUGAUUCUGGCUCAGGACGAACGCUGGCGGCGUGCCUAAUACAUGCAAGUAGAACGCUGAAGGAGGAGCUUGCUUCUCUGGAUGAGUUGCGAACGGGUGAGUAACGCGUAGGUAACCUGCCUGGUAGCGGGGGAUAACUAUUGGAAACGAUAGCUAAUACCGCAUAAGAGUAGAUGUUGCAUGACAUUUGCUUAAAAGGUGCAAUUGCAUCACUACCAGAUGGACCUGCGUUGUAUUAGCUAGUUGGUGAGGUAACGGCUCACCAAGGCGACGAUACUUAGCCGACCUGAGAGGGUGAUCGGCCACACUGGGACUGAGACACGGCCCAGACUCCUACGGGAGGCAGCAGUAGGGAAUCUUCGGCAAUGGACGGAAGUCUGACCGAGCAACGCCGCGUGAGUGAAGAAGGUUUUCGGAUCGUAAAGCUCUGUUGUAAGAGAAGAACGAGUGUGAGAGUGGAAAGUUCACACUGUGACGGUAUCUUACCAGAAAGGGACGGCUAACUACGUGCCAGCAGCCGCGGU